rnacentral:lncRNA from 1 species
GGGCUGAGUGGAUGGAGGUGGGGCACUGCCCCACAUGGAGGGGGGGCUUGGUGGCCGCAUGGUAGCCCUGUGGCUGCUGACGAACUGGGCAGUGGGAGAGUGGUGGAGACGGUCUCCUCUGCUAGAGUGAGGCCUGAGUCAAAAGGAGAUGGGAAGAGACCUCCUGUUGGCACUGUAGGCCAAUGUUUAGAUUUGAGGCCACAGAAAACCUGGAGCCUGAGGCCUCUGGGUGAGCAGACAGUGGCCAACAGGGAGCCGGGGGUCAAGAAGGUCCCUGCUUGGAACUUCACAGCUGGCAGCUUGCCACACCUGCCUGCUCACCAUCUUGCCCAGAGAGGCCUCACUUUCCUCCAUGAUUCCCUCCCCCUGGACUCCCACCCUGGGCUCUGCCUGAAGGUCCAGCAUCCUGUACGGAGUGGCCAGAGGAUCAGAGUCUCCCCGCCCCCUCUGCAAGCAGUAGAGAGAGACUCACAGAUUUGGGGUUGUCAGUGUGAGCUCUGGAGAUCUGAAGACAGGGGUUGCGUUAAAGCAGGCCCUAACCCCCCACCUUGUGGCUGACUGCAAAGAGCCCAUGGAAGGAGCUGAGGCCCCUUCAAAGUCCAGUAAACAGCGGGAGGAAAAGACAGCCCCCUCUCAGGAACCAGGAACUGGGUCCAGGCCUUGGGGGGAGGUGGUGGGGUGGGGUCUGCAAAUUCCUGGCUCAGUCUUUUCUUAGGGGGAAUGGCACCCCAGUAUCCACAUGGCAAUCCCAGUUUAGGCGACUGCUGAAGAUCCAGAGAAAGGAUGGGCGGAGAGAAGAGUGAAGUGGGAAAGGCUGACGAUACUGGCCUAAGACGUUGAAGUGUGGGUCGCGGGUUUGGGGACAGUGGCACAGGGAGGGGCCACGUGGACACACAGCACGUCAAGGAAGUCCUCACUGCCAUCCCCAUCAGGCCCCUGUCCAGUGGAGAUCGAUGCCUCUCCCAUUCCAGCCGACUGUCCACUCUGGGGGAGCAGGGGACACUCCCCUACCGAAUCCCAGGGCUGCAGGCUUGCCACCAGCUAAAACGUUUCUGCUCCUUAGCUGCCCCUCUUCACUGUCCCCAAGUUCGAUGCUGGAGUAGUCUCCACGGUGUCAUGUCGUUGGGGAAGAGUGGAGUGAGCUGCGUUCACAGCGAGAGAGGGUGUCCUUUGCUGUGUCCAAGCCCCGUCUCCUGGCCAGAGUUCUCCAUCAGGGCUGCCCAUUUGUUGCAGGGGUGGGGGGAAUCAGUGGACAAUGGGAGUUUUCUUGGUUCAGAAUCUUGGCUGCCCCAAAGCAUCC